AUGUCCGUCUUCAGGCGACAAUUGUUGUUAAUUGUAAAAACAAUGACAAUUGUAGAUUAACAACAAUUGUCGCCUGAAGACGGACAU